AUUAGGGACACCAGUUUUCCCGCGGUUUUUAGAGAAGAGUUGGCGCCGUUAAAUAGUGUCGUGUUAUAUAUAUAUAUAUAUAUAUAUAUUUUUUUUUAAUCGUGAGUGAGUAAAGUCGUAAAGUAUAAAGAAGGAAAAAUGGAUUCACAGCCGUCGACAUCAAGUGGCAUCACCGAAAAGCAGAAAAAGUCAAAAAGGAAAGUAUUCAAAAAUUCUUGGUUAAGUAUUGACAUUUUAAAAAAAUGGUUAACAUCACAUGAAGAUAAUGAAAAAGCUCUCUGCACGGCUUGUAAUAAAGUUUUGUUAUGCGGAAAAUCAGAUUUAAUAAGACAUUCGAGAACAAAAUUACAUAUUAAGAAUAUUAGUGAAGGCCUUCAUAUCACACCAUCUGCUUCAUUAUCUAAGCCCAAUAUUAAAGAUGAGGACCAUGUUAAGAAAGUUAAAACAGCCGAAAUAAAAUUAGCUGCAUUUUACGCGGAACACAACAUAGCUUUUCAAACUUUAGAUCACAUGGUCCCUUUAUUAAAAGAUAUUUGUUCUGAUCCACAAGUGGUAAACGAUCUAAAACUGUCAAGGAGAAAAUGUACUGCAAUAAUAAAAAAUGUUUUAGGAAAACGCGAAAGUCAUAAACUUAUUACAAACUUAAAAACUCAAAAAUUUUCUAUUCUAAUAGAUGAGAGUACAAAUAUCACUAAUAAUAAAUUGCUUUGUAUAUUAGUAAAGUACAUAUCGUUAGACAGUAAAAAAUGUAUGACACAAUUAUUAGAAUUAAUAUCAUUAGAUGCAACAGAUUGUUCUGCAGACAAAUUAUAUUCUGCAUUUGAAAAAUGUUUGAAAAGUAAAGAUAUACCAUUAUCAAAUAUUAUUGGAAUGGCUUGUGAUAAUGCUUCUGUGAUGAUAGGAGAGCACAAUUCUUUUAUGAGUAGAUUAAGAAAAGAGGUACCGGCCCUCAUUGUGUUAAAAUGUAUAUGCCAUUCCUCAGCUCUCAUCGCGAGUAAAGCUUGUUCAAAAUUGCCGGAUUCUUGUGAUAAUCUUUUGCAUGCAGUCGCAACAUAUUUUUCUGGCAGUGCAAAAAGAUCAGCGAUCUUGUGCGAAUUUCAAACCUUCUUUGAUGUAGAGUCACGUAAAAUUUUAAAAUUAUCUAAUACUAGAUGGCUAGUUUUGCAGAAAUGUGUUACUAGACUUCUCGAGAACUGGGACGUCUUGAAGCAUUAUUUCUAUUUAGAGACAAUUGAAAAUAAUAACAAUUCGGCAGUAACAAUUUCCAAUACAUUAAAUGAUAAUGCAAUUAAAGCAUAUAUGCUAUUUUUAAAAUAUUCUUUGAAUUUUUUAAAUGAUUUUAAUGCUUUGUUUCAAGGUAGACAAAUUUUAAUUCACAAAUUAGCAGAGAGUAGUGAGCAUUUAAUAAAGCAGAUGGGAUACAAUUUUUUGCUGCCUACCACGUUAAACACUAUUUCUUUAGAUGUCAUUAAUCCGUCAAAUUUUUUACCUGUAACUUCUAUAUAUCUUGGGUCAGAAUGCGAAUCAUUUUUGCAAUCAGAAUCGUCAGAAUUUAUAACGGAAAUAAAAUCUAAAUGUUUAUCUUUUUAUACAACCGCGGUAAAAGAAAUUAUACAACGAUUACCUUAUAAUGACAAAAUUUUUCGCGAACUUAAAUUUUUAAAUCCAAAUGUAGCUUUGCGCGAGGAAAGUAGACUUACCUUUCCAGAUUUGAGGCACGUAGCAAAAACUUUUCAAAUUUCUGAUAUUACGGCCUUAGCUUAUGAAUGGAGAACGUUACCUUUUGUAUUUGAUGACGCGGAAAAAACUCUUUUGGCUAAUUUAGAAAUUGAUGAUAUGUGGAAGAAUAUUUUUCAAAAAAAGAAAUUCAAUAAUGAACCAUUUUUUCCAAAUUUAGAGAAUUUAGUAUACGCGGUUUUGGCACUUCCACAUUCUAACGCCGAAGCAGAGAGAAUAUUUUCUAUUGUUACAGAUAUGAAGAAUAAAAAGAGGAAUCGGAUUGAUAUCAACAGUUUAAACGCGGUUUGUAAAUAACCUUCUGGAAUUAAACGCCUCCAAGUCAUCGAAAAUAUAAAAUAAGAACUGUUAGAUGUUAAAUUUUAUAUUGCUAUAUUAAGUGCAUUACAUAUAUUAAGAUAUAUUUAUUGUAAUUUUAUUUAUUAUACGUACAUAAUUUUAAGAAAAAUAUAUUAAUAUGUAUUUAUGAAAUAUUACUUAAGUAUGUGUAUAUUUACAUUUAGGUAUAAGUUAUAGAUAAUAAGUAUAUUGCAAUAAUAAGUAUUAAUAACUGUUAAUAGGUAAUAAUUAAUAUUUAGUAUAUGUAUAAAUGUAUAUAUUCACAUGUUAUUUCUUAUGUAUAUUUUUAUAAGAAUACUGGUAAGAUUUUCUGCAGUUUCCCUUACCCCCGCAACGAAUGUUGGUAUUCAUAUAAUAAAUCGGCUGCAGACAUUAAAAAUAAAUAAUACAUUUUCUUAUUAUCAUUAAUAAUUCUAUAUCUUAUUAUUUCAUAUCCUUGAUAGAAACUUCUUAUUAAAGAAAUUCCUUACUUAAGAAACUUCCUUCUCUCCUUGCAACUUCUUUUAUAUUUCUCUUCUCGUUCGAACCUAACGAUACCUCAUUUUGACCACAGUAUAUACGUUACUGAGGUGCCAUUUUGCUGUGACGUCAGCUUACGCAUGCGCGCGGAAGCUCCCGCGUGGGGGAAAAAUCCCACGACUGCCCAACACUCCGGCAAUCUCGGGCAGUGGAAGCAAAUAAACAUGAUUUUCUGUCUCUCCCGCUCGGACGAGUAGCAAAACCAAUCUGAUUGGCUGAGAGAUAAUCUUAGGUAUAUCUUUUAGAUACUGAUACAGUUCUAUGAUUAGCUAACAAAUAUCUUAACAUAUAUUUAGUGUCCACGAUCCAAGUUCUUGGUCAAAGUUCUAGGUCCGAGAAAUGUGUAGCCAAUCAACAUGCAGCUUUUAUGUAAAAACUGUAAGUUCAUUGGCUACACAUUUCUCGGAACUAGAACUUUGACAAAGUUCUUGGAUCGUGGACACAGGCCUUUAUUACGGACUAUUUAGAUCCCGGCUGAUGCCAUUUUUAGUUCUCGGAAAGCCUGCUACGAGCCUCCACUGUUUCUGAUCCAACACGAGGUAGUACGAAUCAAUAUUGAGUCGGACGCGAUUUUUAUUUUAAAUAGUCUAAUAUAUUUUAUAGAUUAGAUAAAAAGCUUUUAGGAAUAAAAGACGCUUCUAACGACGAAGGAGUAUCACUAACCGCUUAUCAAAUGCUCUUUUCUACUUAAUGCAGUCAAUGUUGCAAGUCACAUCGAUGCUGUUUGAAUAUUCGAUAAAUCGUGCUUGCAUCUACGUGUAUGUUAGUGUCUGCUUUAUGUUUACGUGGUGUACAUGUUUUCUUGAUAGCCAAAGUGUCGGUGUAUUAAAAUAGUGACGCUGUAUAAUUACUACUGUAUUUUUGAAAUUGUAAAAAGUAAUUAAAAAAGAACGCAAAUAUGCCGACAUACGAAAUGCCGCUGAUAAUACGUAUGAUGAAAAAGCCACUUUUUUAUACGGUUUGAUUCACCUCCAUCGGAAAUAGAUAAACUCCUGGACGAAUGUUCCAGAGAUAUCGAUAUUGUUAGGCUAAAGGUAUUCGCAGAAAA